rnacentral:rRNA from 2 species
UAAGUCAGCCACGAAUAGGCUAUCCCAACUAACGGCGGGAAAGACUCCACGGAGGGUGUAAGACCCGUGUGGGCGCGUGUCGAAGCUGUGUGGGCUCGGCCUCUAUUCCCUGAGAGUCGCGUUGCUUGAGCAUGCAGCGCUAAGCAGGUCGUAAACUCGAUCUAAGGCUAAAUAUCUCCACAGAACCGAUAGCGAACAAGUACCGUGAGGGAAAGUUGAAAAGCACUCUGGAGAGAGAGUCAAAAGACCGUGAAACCGCUCAGAGUAUAAGCCCAUGGCAGCUUGGAAGGCAUAUCGAGAGCGGGGCAUCGGUCUGCCUUCGCGGGGAGCCGGUGUUACCUUGCCUCUGUUGUGGCUCGUCAUGGUAGGGGGGUCAGGUCCACAUCCCGCCGUCGUGUGGAGGGUUCUUGGGUGGUGGUUUGUGGUUUCUCGGUUGGCUUCGGCUGGCCGGGGGGCCCUUCGUGCUUGGUUCCCUUUUAGACACGGACGUUCAGACUCAGAGGCAAGACGCGAUAAACAGCCCACCACGGCACGUUGUGAGGUCACCCACAGGCUCGACUUUCGAUCGUGAACCUUGACGCCGAGCAAGCACAAUGCGUGUCGCUUAUGUUCCUAACCAGGCAUGGCUGCCAGGACCGUGGAACGACACGCGCUCAACAGUCAGGUUCGGGCGGAGACAGAGUUCUGGUAUGAUCCUCUUGCGACGAGCCGGCUUCUGGCCGACAUCCGAUGCUCAGGUCUCCCGCAUGUGCCGCGGGAGAUCGCCUUGACGGUCUGGA